GACAGAGGUCCCGAGCGUUAGGCGGAAUCACUGGGCUUAAAGCGUGUGUAGGCGGAUGUCUAAGUACCUUGUGAAAUCCCACGGCUCAACCGUGGAACUGCUUGGUAUACUGGAUGUCUUGAGCCAUCUAGGGGCUACCGGAACAAAUGGUGGAGCGGUGAAAUGCGUAGAUAUCAUUUGGAACGCCAAUGGUGAAAACAGGUAGCUGGGGAUGUGCUGACGCUGAGACACGAAAGCCAGGGGAGCAAACGGG
rnacentral:rRNA from 1 species